UUAGGCCAUGAAACUUUGCUUUCUGUGACUUUUGGCUUAGAGCAGGGUGGGUGUGUGUAUGCACUCCACAUGGUACUUUUACCUAGCUCAUGUUAUGUUUCAUUGAACCCCUUCUAAAUGUCAGGAGACUGAAAGCUUUUGUUAUAACAAGCAGAGCCUGACAAACUGCUGAGGGGUUGCACCUGUAGAAUGGGAGAACCUGGCACUGGGGGAGGUCUUUGCUUCUUAUGUAGUGUCUGCUGCCCCAGAAACCCCUAGGGAGAGGUUUGGGAGGUUCUGCUUUCCUGCACUGACCAGCCUUGGCAAUACUUCCCAAGUGACCCUUCUUACAUGUGUUGCCUGGAUGCAUAAAUAGGGGUUCCUGGUUCCUACGUGAAUUGAUGUGCACCACAGAGUUGUGGAUUUUAUUACUAGUGAGCAGUUCCAGUGGCUUCAAACCCUGCUCAUUCAUGAAUGGCUAAAGGAUUCCCCUAGAGUAUUAGCGAGAAUCAUGCAAGAAUUUCAGAGAGAACACUCAGCAUUGGGACAUGGAAACUUUGAAGAGCUCCAACAACUUUUGUCUUCCAACUGAUCCAGGAAACUGAGGUGUUUGGCAAACUCAAAAUAAAUGUAUCAAGAGUAUUCAGGAUAAGAGUCUGAAACAAGACCAUGGGCUGCUGAAAUGCACAGCAAAUUAAAACUGGGGAGAAAAGUGUGAUAGAGGACUAAUCCUGCCCUGAAAAGAAGUUGCAGGUUUAUACCAAUGCAUUGUUCAACUUCUUUUCUUGUUUUUAAUUGAUGUGGAAAAUCUGAAGUCAUAAAAUGCUGUGUGACUACAGGAUGACAGAAAAAAAUAGCAGGAACACCUCAGGCCAUAUUUUCAUCCCUUUCUUGAAGCUUAUAUGGAAAGGGCAGUCCUGGCAGAGCUGUAUGGCUGGAGGGAGCUGCCUGAAAAGCACCUGGAGAGCAAGAACUGGAGAAGGAUCCUCACAACAGAACCCCUGAGUGACCUCACCUUGCCUACCCAAAAGAUGGAGAGAAGGCACCACAGAGAGUCUGGAGGGGAGUGAUCUACAGCCACUGCAGCUCCCACAGAGCUCAAAGCCACUGCUGCCUCCUGCCUUGUCCUGCAGCUGCCACAAGGCUCUGCAAGUCCCCGUGUUAUUGCAGCAAUGAAAUGCGUCAAUAAAACAGAGACCUGAAUCCUCCCCUGUCACCUGAGUACUUAUUGCUGUCCUCCUUCUGAAUUAAUCUGGAUCGUGCAUUAAUUUGUAAAAAUUAGGGACCAUUUGUAAAAAUGGCAAAAAAACUCUGAUAGUGAUUCCAUUUUAACCAGGGAAUCUUAAGCUCAGAAACCUGUAGUAGUAUGAUGAACCAGACUAAAAUGUGUUAAUCUCAUAUUCCUUAGCAUCUAACAGCAGCUUGUGCUGGUUGAAUCAGAGUGAGGGAUUAUGGUAGCUGCUCCUUUUUGUAAAAUGGACAUCUAAUACUGCAGAAGCUCCUAAAUUACCUGUGAGACUGCUCUUUAAGUUAGGUUGAAAAUUGCCAUUCCUCCUUCUGAAUAAUAAAUACAGUGCUCGCUUCAU